rnacentral:tRNA from 1 species
UCCCUGGUGGCUCAGAUGGUAAAGAAUCUGCCUGCAAUGCAGAAGACCCAGGUUCAAUCUCUGGGUUGGGAA